rnacentral:rRNA from 1 species
GAUCAUGGCUCAGAUUGAACGCUGGCGGCAGGCUUAACACAUGUAAGUCGAACGGUAACAUGAAGAAGCUUGCUUCUUUGAUGACGAGUGGCGGACGGGUGAGUAAUGCUUGGGAAUCUAGCUUAUGGAGGGGGAUAACUACGGGAAACUGUAGCUAAUACCGCGUAGAAUCGAGAGAUGAAAGUGUGGGACCUUCGGGCCACAUGCCAUAGGAUGAGCCCAAGUGGGAUUAGGUAG